rnacentral:rRNA from 1 species
CAGUCGCGCGGUAAUACGUAGGGUGCAAGCGUUAAUCGGAAUUACUGGGCGUAAAGCGUGCGCAGGCGGUUUGUUAAGACAGAUGUGAAAUCCCCGGGCUCAACCUGGGAACUGCAUUUGUGACUGGCAGGCUAGAGUAUGGCAGAGGGGGGUGGAAUUCCGCGUGUAGCAGUGAAAUGCGUAGAUAUACGGAGGAACACCGAUGGCGAAGGCAGCCCCCUGGGCCAAUACUGACGCUCAUGCACGAAAGCGUGGGGAGCAAACAGGAUUAGAUACCCGCGUAGUCCCUGUCUCUUAUACA